GACAGAGGAGCCAAGCGUUGUCCGGAUUGACUGGGCGUAAAGCGCACGCAGGCGGCUGUGCACGUGGGGUGUGAAAGCUGGCGGCUUAACUGCCAGACGCCACCUCAUACGGCACGGCUCGAGCCCGUGAGAGGUCCACGGAAUUGCCGGUGUAGUGGUGAAAUGCGUAGAGAUCGGCAGGAACACCCAGGGGGAAACCAGUGGACUGGCACGGUGCUGACGCUGAGGUGCGAGAGCGUGGGGAGCGAACCGG
rnacentral:rRNA from 1 species